UACGGAGGGUGCAAGCGUUGUCCGGAUUUACUGGGCGUAAAGCGCACGUAGGCGGUUUUGUAAGUUAGAGGUGAAAGCCCGGAGCUCAACUUCGGAAUUGCCUUUAAGACUGCAUCACUUGAACGUCGGAGAGGUGAGUGGAAUUCCGAGUGUAGAGGUGAAAUUCGUAGAUAUUCGGAAGAACACCAGUGGCGAAGGCGGCUCACUGGACCGUUGUUGACGCUGAGGUGCGAAAGCGUGGGGAGCAAACAGG
rnacentral:rRNA from 1 species